GAGGCGUUACCCAGAGGGUGCGAGGUCGAGCACCUUCAUUGUCCCAUCGCAAACCCAAAGAUCCCUGUUCCUGGAGAUUCUGAUUGAGUAAGAAAAAAUGCACUUUUGGGCUUAAAUCAUCUGCCAUUUCCAUACCCUCACUGCGGAGACUCAAGUGUUCCUAUGUAUUGCUGGUGAAUAUAAAUGGGAAGACAGUGUGGCAGAAUCCAUCAAAACAGCAAAUGUCCCACACUUUAACCAACCUUCCAGCAGCCAGCUUCCGGUGCCCCUCUGGUGAUUGAUGAUGUCUGGCCAGGCUGCCGCUCCCUGGUGUUGCCUGAAGGCCAGGGGGUCAACAGAGCUGGCUGCCUUGCCUGGAAGGGAGAAGGACUCUCCGCUAUCCUUCUCUGGUCAAGAGUUCCAGAACUCUACAUGUGGUGCAGUUAGCAAUGGCAGCUCAUCUAGGGUGAAACCACAUAAGUUUUGAGUGACUUAGACCUUCUCACUCUAAAUUCUCCACUGAAGAGCCAGCCAUCCUGCUCCAGAUGUUUUAAUCCAGGCAGAGGCAGCAUGGCAAGAGAGGGCAAGAGGCUGCCAUUGUAGGCACAGUGGUAUCUGCUAGGGCUGAGCAGGAGGAAGAGAGCUCAUCAAGGUACAUGGUUUGAGGGGAGGAAUGAAGACAGACCCCUACCCGCAAGUGUCAGGAAAGACACCCUUUGGUGAGACUGGCCUCCAUCACCAUGCCAAGUGAGAUCAGAACUCCAUUGCCCUGCACGUGAAGUUGGAGGUGCUGUGGAGGUUUGAAGAGAGUGAGAAAUUGACGUGGAUUGACAGGGCCCUAGGGCUGGUCCCCUCCACUGUUGCCUCAAUCCGUGUCAACAAGGACAAGAUCCGGGCUAAUUCCUGCAGCCGCUCCAGUUAAGUGCCGUGCAGCUGACCUGCUGCUGGGGUGUGGUGAUGGGCCACAUGGAACGCCUGUUGAGCCUGUGGAUUGGGGAGCAAAAGCAACAAAACUUACCUGUCAGCACAUGCUCAUCCAGGACGAGGCGUGCUGGCUGUUUGUACAGCUACAGCAAGAGCAGGGCGAUGGUGCCCAGGCUGAGAGCUUUGGGGCCAGUAAUGGCUGCUGAUGGAUGAGCCAGCCAUUGCUGACACCCAGGCUGCUGCCCAGUAUCCCUUGGUGUUACGUAUCAUCCUGGAGGAGGUCUGCUACUCACCACACCUAGUCUUCAAUGUGGAUGAGACGGGAAUGUUCAGGAAAUGGAUGCCCAAGCGCUUGCUGCUGGCAUUGGAAGGGGUGACUGUGCCUGGGUCCAAGGCCUCUAAGGCCCAUCUGACCCUACUGCUUGGUGGCAAUGUAGCCAGCAACUUCAAGCUAAAGCCUCUGCUAGUGUACACCUCAGAGAUUCCUCAGGCCCUCAAGGGCUGCCCCAAGGCCAGCCUCCCUGUGCCUUGGUGCUCCAAUCGCAAUGACUGGUUGACUCCCAGCGUCUUCCAGGAUGCUUCUGCCCUGCCAUGGAGACCUACUGUGCUCACUGUGGCCUCCCACAUCAUGCCCUGCUGCUUCUGGAUGGUGCGCCCUACCAUCCUGCCCAUCUGCGUGGCCUUUCAGCCCAUGUGUACGUUGAGUUCUUGCCCAAGAACACCUCAGCCCUAAUUCAGCCCAUGAACCAGGGCAUCAACACUGCCUUCAAGGCCCACAACCUGCGCCGCACACCAGCCAGCUGGUCCAGGAGACUGCUGAUGAGGACUGGCCCUCUGCAUGGGAGUUCUGGGGCAGCUAUACUGUCAUGACUGCCGUGGACAGUAUUGCUGAGGCCUGGGCAGAACUGCAGCCUGCUACCAGGCACAAUGCCUGGAGGAAUCUCUGGUCUGAGUGUGUGCCUGCUGGUGCCCCUGAGCCUGGUGUGGUGCCCAAGCUCCGCCACAGCACUGUGGCACUAGCUAGCCAUGUGGCUCUUGGGGAUAUGGCUGAGGCUGAUGUUGCCUGCCUGCUGCAGGCCUGUGGGGAACCUCCCACUCCACAGCGUCCCCCAGGAUGCAGAGGAUGGGGCCACGAGCACCUCUGGGCUGCCUUGGGAGGCAGGGAAAGGCCUGGCCUCCAAAAGGUCAGAGCCAAAGCUCAGAGAAGCCGUGAAGAGUACAGAGACCAGAGGGCUGGUGAGGGAGUUCUGAGCCAUGAGCAGCCGGCCCAGGUUCUGUGUCACUUUGCUGCUGGCCUUGAUUCCUUCUGGAGAAUGAGCACAACUGGGAGCAUAGCCUGUGGGUGUCCCGGGGUAUCCUCAGUGCUCUUGCCCACCUCCAGGAACUACACUGAGACAGGA